CACAUAUUACUCCCCCUCUUCUUUGUGCGAAAACCAGAAAAGAGCAUAUCCAUAUGUGUGUGUGUAUAUAUAUAUAUAUAGACAGAGAGAGCGAUCGAUCGAGAUGGGAACGAGCUGCGGUGAUAUCUGCACUCUGCCGGAGGGUUGCAUCUCCCACGUUAUCUCUCUGACGUCGCCGGUCGAUUCUUGCCGGUCGGCAGCGGUCUGCACAACCUUCCGCUCGGCCGCCGAGUCCGACAUCGUGUGGGAGCGCUUCCUGCCGCCCGAUUACCCUUCUAUCCUGUCGCGGGCGGUCCAUCCGGUGGAGUACUUGUCCAAGAAACAGCUCUUCUUCCGCCUCUGCGAAACCAUCCUCAUCGACGACGGCAACAUGAGUUUCUCAUUGGAUAAAUCGAGCGGUGCAAAGUGCUACAUGCUGUCUGGCAGACAGCUGUUUAUUGUAUGGGGAGAUACUCCCCAUUAUUGGACGUGGCAUCCUCUACCCGAUUCCAGGUUUUCAGAGGUUGCUGAGCUCGUAGACGUUUGCUGGUUGGAGAUUCGAGGCAAAAUUGAAAGCAGCAUACUUACUCCUAAAACAACCUAUGCCGCCUAUCUCAUCUUCAAAGUCGAUCAGAAUUCACAUGGUCUGGGCUUUCUGAAUCAGGAAACAACAGUGAAACUGGGAGCCCAGGUGUCCACACAUACUGUGAACGUACAACCCAUUGUUGCUGAGAGACAGAGGAACGGACAUCGUUGGCAUUUCCUGAAUUCGAGUUGGAAUGCCAUACUGGAGGGGCAUGCCGAUGCGGAGCAAAACGAGAUUGCAGCUAGAGCCCCUCAGGAAAGGGCUGAUGGUUGGAUGGAGAUGGAGAUGGGGGAAUUCUACAAUGAUGAGGGUGAGGAUGGGGAAGUGGAAAUGAGUUUGAUGGAGGUGAAACGACUGAAUUGGAAGUCCGGACUCAUCAUCCAAGGCAUUGAGAUAAGGCCUAAGAAGUAGGCAUGAGAUAAGAGCUUUUCAUGUAUGGGCGUUCAAGUAGAUGGUAAUUAUAAAUAAACAAGAAACAUUGCUUUGCAACUUUGGGCAUUAUCAGACAACUAAUUCAAUUUUUUUAGUGCCUCUACGGCUCGACAACUUUCUUUUGUUCAUUGCAGUAAUAGAAGACAUGGUUUCUGUUUUCUUUCUUCAAUUUCUCCUUGAGCGAAGACUGAAGACGGCACUAUAUUAACCUUUGUCCGCAGGUUGGAGAACUUAAAGAUUCUCACCAAACCUUUGUUAAACUGCUAGGAUUCAUGCUGUUUAUCAUUGAUGGAUGCAUCUAGAUAUUGAAGUAAUUGUGACAUCAAGCUUCAGAUUCACAUUCUCCAUUCUCCGUUCAAAGCGGUUAUGUGUUCAAAACUUGUGAGGUACUUUCUUGAGUGUUUUGACAUAGGGAUUUGUCUUAACAUCAUUUCUUUUGAUAUGAUUGGUGAAACUCCAAGAAUCAUUCUCCCAAAUAAAUCUAUGGUAUAUUAAAGUGAGAGAUUUGAAAUCUACAAAUGUUUUACUCUGGAUUUCAUUUGUCACAUUUUAUA